rnacentral:rRNA from 1 species
ACGCAUUUUAGAGCCCCAUUCACUUUAAUUAACAAUUAAAAUUACAUUCAAAUCCAAAUUAUGAAACCUUAAUGCUAGAGCUCAUCCUAAAAUAAAUUUAUUGUAAUCCAUCUCUACUUAUAUAAGCUGCACCUUGAUCUGAUCUACAAUAUAGUAAUAUAUUAAAAUUAUAUAUUUCAAAAAAUAAUUUUCAACGACGAUAUACAAGCAAAAUAAAAGUGUUAUUAAUCGUGGAUUAUCGAUUACAGGACAGAUUCCCCUGAUUAGAAUAAAAAACCGCCAAAUUUUUUGAUUUUAAAGAACAUAACUUAAAUUCAUCAGGUUUUAUAUUAUACAUCUAGAAUAAUGGGGUAUCUAAUCCCAGUCUUUAAACUAGAUUUCCUAGCUUCAUAACAAAAAAUUUAAUUAUAUAAAAAAUAGGAUUUCACCCAAUAUUUUAACAAAGUAAAAAUUUAAUUCUUAUUAACUAAUUAUAAACCAAAAAAAAAUAGUAGCAUCAUUUGUUUAACCGCA